rnacentral:lncRNA from 1 species
CCCCCACGCCCCGGCUCCCAUCUCGGCUGCCGGGAACCGGGAAAGCUUGCUCUGGAGCCCCUCGCACGUGGCAGGCAGGCCGAGAACUCGUAGUGCCUUCUAGGAAAUUGCAAUCGGUUUUGUAAUGCACUUUUGCUAAUUGGGAGUUCAAAAUUAAACUUUAAUAAAGCA